CCUACGGGCGGCUGCAGUGAGGAAUAUUGGUCAAUGGACGAGAGUCUGAACCAGCCAAGUAGCGUGAAGGAUGACUGCCCUAUGGGUUGUAAACUUCUUUUAUAAAGGAAUAAAACGAGGCACGUGUGCCUUUUUGCAUGUACUUUAUGAAUAAGGAUCGGCUAACUCCGUGCCAGCAGCCGCGGUAAUACGGAGGAUCCGAGCGUUAUCCGGAUUUAUUGGGUUUAAAGGGAGCGUAGAUGGGUUGUUAAGUCAGUUGUGAAAGUUUGCGGCUCAACCGUAAAAUUGCAAUUGAUACUGGAGGUGUAGAGGAAAGUAGAGGUAGGGGGAAUCGGGGGUGUAGCGGUGAAAUGUUGAGAGAGCACGAAGAACCCCGAUGGCGAAGGCAGUUUAAUAAACUGUGAGUGACAUUGAUGCUCGAAAGUGUGGGUAUAAAACAGGAUGAGAUACCCGAGUAGUC
rnacentral:rRNA from 1 species